rnacentral:lncRNA from 1 species
AAACAGUUGCCUUUAAACUCUCUCAUCUUCUCAAUCUCUCUCUAACCUUCUCCAAAAUCCUAGCCCUACCCCGCCGAUUUCCACCUUAUUUCACCGGAAUCAAUGGCCUCCCAAGCCCUGGGUGGCCUGUACUCACCCACAUGCACCUCCAUGCCCUUGUCUCUUAAAAAUUGAAGGCCUGACCUUGAAGAACUUGGCUUAGAUCUCUGAUUCGAGUUCUGCGGCCAUCCGGCUCAAAUCUGGCGUAUCCUAGUCCUAUGAGUCCAUCUCUGACUUUUUUGACUCGGAUUAGCCCCUUUUCCAUGCCUUUUUCAUUUCUAGGGUUCCUCCAAAACCCUAUGCCAUUUCGAGGUUCUCUUAUUUCUCUCUAGAUCUGCUUCAGAUCUGUGCUAUUUUUAAGGUUUUCAAAUGACUUCCUACAUCUUUUUCAAAACUUUGCUUUCAAAAACUGUUCAUCUUCUCCGACUUAGGGUUUUCUUGAUUUUACUUGUUCUACUGUGAUUUUUAUGUGGUGUUCUUUACUCUAUUUGUCCUACCGUGACUCCUAUGUGUUUCUAUUUUGACUCAUAUGUGUUUUCUUCUACUAUGUUUCCUCCUAAUUUUCCUUGUGUUUUUCUUUUACUAUGUUUUCCCUCAUCGUUUUUUCACAGAACGAUUAAGAUCCUUUGGGUUUUCUGAGUUUGCUUUUGCCUGAUUUGUUUGGUUUUGUCCCUACACUGGAAUAAUGACAAAAACCCUAGAACUCAGGGGUUUUCAGACCACUUGUAUGUGACUUGCAUGUUCUCACCUCUGAACUAGUUUGAUUUCAAUUUCUGAAGUCAUCUCUGUUUUUCAUGUGGUUCUGACCUUUUGCCAAAAAAAAACUCUUCUACACUAGAUUUUUCCUACUGAUUCUUUACAAUGACACUACAGUCUUCUUUCAUGUUUGACGUGUUCGUAUGCUCCUUAUAUACUAUGAAUUUCCCCCUAAAUGGUUAUUCAAAUUUGCAAUUAGUUUAAAAUUUCUUCUGAAUAUAUCUUGAUUGAUUUCUUUCCAUUUGUUUUGCCUGUGACUCGACCUUUUUCAAAUUCGCAAUUAAUUCAAAAUUUCUUUUAAAUAUAGCUUGAUUGAUUUCUUUCCAUUUUUUUGUCUGUGACUCGACCUAAGUAAAACCCUUCUCUUUUUUAUUCAAGACUUGAUUCAUUCAUAUAAAAUCUCAGACCUUUUGAUUACUAUUUGUUAAUUGGUCUUCUUUUGUUUGAUGAUAUUAAGUCAUUUUUUGUUAGAUUUGAGCCGUGUGGAGACGAAUUUCAAAGGAAAAGUAAUUUUUAAGUGUUGAUUUGGUCUUGUUGAGGUAAGUAUCUUGUCUAACGUUGUGUAAAAAAACUACCACAUAGGAUUUGGUUUAAUUGCAGUGUUAGAUCUACGUAAAAGACAUGUAUAUGAGGUUGGGUAUGUACAUGAUCUUAUAUGUGAUAAUCGACAGGUUUAGACUUUUAGGCUUCUUAGAUACUUUUAAUUGAAGUUGUUAUUACAUGGUCUACCUUUCUUUGUCGGGUUUAUUCUUAUAUGCUUUAAUUGAAGUUGUUAUUAUAUGUUUUAUCUUUCAUUGUCAAGAUUACUCUUAUAUGCAUUCAAUAGAGGUUGUUAUUAUGUAUAAUAUCUUCAUUGUUGAGUUUACUUUUAUGCAAUUAAUUGAAGUUGUAGUUAUUAAGAGCUAUUAACAUGUUUUAACUGAAGUCGUUGUUUAUGGAAUAUCUUUCACUAUUGAGUUAUUUCCCAUUUUAUUUUAUUGUUAUUGAGAUUCUUGUACACAUUGGGGUUGAUUCGUGGGCUAUGUGUUAUGACGAUAUUGGUAUUGCUCUUAUGGAAUUAUUGUGGCAUGUCGUCAGGUGUGGUGUGAGAUGAUUAUUGUGUUGUGAUGAUAUGCGCAUGCAGCGGUAUAAAGAUGGUGAUAUUGAUGUGCAUGCGGGGAGAUAAGGGUGUUAUAUGAGAGUGUUACUAAUAAUAAAAAUUACUUUAUUUGAACUACACGCGCCGAGAUAAUGGGUGCUAAAGUGUGUGAAGCUAUUUCGGAAAAAUAUUUUUAAAAAUAAAUAUAAAUCUAACGUGACGAUAUAAGGAAGAUUUGUGAUUUGUGACUUGUGAAAUGUGGUUAUAAGUUGUGGUACCUCGGAAUGAUUCUUGUUGUACAUGCUAUAUUGGAACGACUUAUUUGUUUGAACGAUUAUUGUCUCCUUUAAUUUAUGUUACUUGUAUUUUAAUUGUAUUUGAUUGUUGACUGUUUCAAUCACUUGUUUACUCUUUGUUAUCAUUUGCUGCAUUUAUUUUCGUUGUUAGCCUUAUUUUAAUGUUCUACCUUGUUGUCAUUAAUUGCUUUUACUUCUCGUCUUGCACCAGUCUUGUGUCUAGUGAGUGUUUUGAUUUACCUCGUCAUUACUUUACUGAGAUUAGUCUGGAUAUUUACUGAGUAUUUAUAUGAUGUACUCAUUCUACUCUUCUACACAAUUUUAUGCAAAUCCAGGUUCCUCUUCCCGUGUUAGAUGCUAGUGAGUUGAUUCAAAUAUUUCGGAGACUUCAAGGUAUAUCUGUUUGAUGCUCCCAGGCCUCGGAGUCACCCUCUACUGAUUAUUUGCUACUUUUUCUUUUAUUUUUUAACAACAUAUGAAUCGAAAUUCUUAAUAUAUUUCG